ACGCCCGGUCCCAUACCGAACCCGGAAGCUAAGACCCACCGCGCCGAUGGUACUGCACUCGGGAGGGUGUGGGAGAGUAGGUCACCGCCGGAC
rnacentral:rRNA from 1 species